rnacentral:rRNA from 1 species
GAUGAACGCUGGCGGCGUGCUUAACACAUGCAAGUCGAACGAUGAUGCCCAGCUUGCUGGGUGGAUUAGUGGCGAACGGGUGAGUAACACGUGAGUAACCUGCCCUUUACUCUGGGAUAAGCCUGGGAAACUGGGUCUAAUACCGGAUACGAACAUCUGGCGCAUGUUAUGGUGGUGGAAAGCUUUUGUGGUUUUGGAUGGACUCGCGGACUAUCAGCUUGUUGGCGGGGUAAUGGCCUACCAAGGCGACGACGGGUAGCCGGCCUGAGAGGGUUACCGGCCGCACUGGGACUGAGACACUGCCCAGACUCCUCCGGGAGGCAGCAGUGGGGAAUAUUGCACAAUGGGCUCAAUCCUUAUGAAGCGACGCCGCGUGAGGGAUGACGGCCUUCGGGUUGUAAACCUCUUUCAGUAGUGAAGAAGCGAAUGUGACGGUACCUGCAGAAGAAGCUCCGGCUAACUACGUG